UCCAGACUCCUACGGGAGGCAGCAGUGGGGGAUAUUGCACAAUGGGGGGAACCCUGAUGCAGCGACGCCGCGUGGGUGAAGGAGCGUUUCGGCGCGUAAAGCCCUAUCGGCAGGGAAGAAGGAGGACGGUACCUGACUAAGAAGCCCCGGCUAACUACGUGCCAGCAGCCGCGGUAAUACGUAGGGGGCAAGCGUUAUCCGGAUUUACUGGGUGUAAAGGGAGCGUAGACGGCGAUGCAAGUCUGAAGUGAAAGGCGGGGGCCCAACCCCCGGACUGCUUUGGAAACUGUAUGGCUGGAGUGCAGGAGAGGUAAGUGGAAUUCCUAGUGUAGCGGUGAAAUGCGUAGAUAUUAGGAGGAACACCAGUGGCGAAGGCGGCCUGCUGGGCUUUUACUGACGCUGAGGCUCGAAAGUGUGGGGAGCAAACAGGAUUAGAUACCCCGGUA
rnacentral:rRNA from 1 species